rnacentral:lncRNA from 1 species
UGGCUAGUAGUAUAAUCUCUCCAAGAGGGCUAGAGUUCGGUGCAUUCUCAGGUGGCCGGCCCAAAGAGUAUCAUGGCAUUCUUGCAAGAGUUCCCUUCUAAUGUUGUCCACUCGUGGAAUGUACACUCGACGCCCUUUUGUCAAAAUUCGAUGCAUUCCCGGGUGGCUGGCCCAAAGAGUAUCAUGGCAUUCUUGCAAGAGUUCC